rnacentral:rRNA from 1 species
UUGCACGCUGGCGGCAGGCCUAACACCUGCAAUUCGAGCGGAUGAAGGGAGCUUGCUCCUGGAUUCAGCGGCGGACGGGUGAGUAAUGCCUAGGAAUCUGCCUGGUAGUGGGGGAUAACGUCCGGAAACGGGCGCUAAUACCGCAUACGUCCUGAGGGAGAAAGUGGGGGAUCUUCGGACCUCACGCUAUCAGAUGAGCCUAGGUCGGAUUAGCUAGUUGGUGGGGUAAAGGCCUACCAAGGCGACGAUCCGUAACUGGUCUGAGAGGAUGAUCAGUCACACUGGAACUGAGACACGGUCCAGACUCCUACGGGAGGCAGCAGUGGGGAAUAUUGGACAAUGGGCGAAAGCCUGAUCCAGCCAUGCCGCGUGUGUGAAGAAGGUCUUCGGAUUGUAAAGCACUUUAAGUUGGGAGGAAGGGCAGUAAGUUAAUACCUUGCUGUUUUGACGUUACCAACAGAAUAAGCACCGGCUAACUUCGUG